rnacentral:rRNA from 1 species
CGUGUAGGCGGUCUGAUUAGUCUGAUGUGAAAGCCCUGGGCUCAACCCAGGAGGUGCAUUGGAUACUGUCAGACUUGAAUACGGGAGAGGGUAGUGGAAUUCCUAGUGUAGGAGUGAAAUCCGUAGAUAUUAGGAGGAACACCGGUGGCGAAGGCGGCUACCUGGACCGAUAUUGACGCUGAGACGCGAAAGCGUGGGUAGCAAACA